rfam:Salmo salar isolate Sally breed double haploid chromosome ssa10, whole genome shotgun sequence.
UGCAUUCACUACUGUAAGUCGCUCUGGAUAAGAGCGUCUGCUAAAUGACAAAUU